GUCUACGGCCAUGCCACCCUGGACCAGCCUGAUGUCUGAUCUCGGAAGCUAAGCAGGUUUGGGCCUGGUUAGUACUUAAAUGGGAGACCACCUAGGAAGACCAGGUACUGUAAGCA
rnacentral:rRNA from 1 species